UUGGAACGCUUUUACCAGUAAUUGUAAAGUAUCUGAGGCAUUUAGCUGUACACAUUUAGGCAUUUUUACAACUUAUUCUUGUCCUGUAGUGUAACUGUUAACUGAUGAUUGAUCUUCGUACGUUGAUUCUUGAUAGCAUCAGGUCAGUGAAAUGAAAAAUAAGGGAGUAUUUAUUAACUUUCUGUAACUAGAUUGGAAACAAGGAAGUUAUAAAAGAAAGUACUUUAGGGGGAAAUGGUUCUUUAUUAAAUCAUGCAUUUUCAAUUUA
rnacentral:lncRNA from 1 species